UAGAAGGCCUAAAAUCACAGAAUAUUUAAUACAAAAUCAUUUUUACAGGUUUAAAAGAAAGUAUUUACAACCGAUCAAUUUAAUCUCUACCAAAAUUUUCUUGGUAUCUAGAUAUUCUAAGCGUAUACCAGAAUAAUAUUUAUCAUAUUAACUGAAAUUAGGUCUGGCAAACGGGUUCCAUUCAGGUUCAUUCGGAUUUCGGAUUUUUGGGUUUAUGAAUUUUAGCCCCAUUCGGAUAAUAUAAAAGUUUGGGUCGGAUUUGGUUCAGGUUUAGUCAGGUUCGAUUUGGGUUUAGUUACAUGUCGAAGAUCCGGUUGAACCCAAAAUAGUUUUGGUUUCGGAUAUUAAUCGGGUUACCAGCUCCAAAAAUAUUGAUUUGCACUUGAUGAAACUCAAUAUAUUUCCAAUAUUUUCAAUAAAUUUGUGUGUAAGGCUUCCUCAAACCAUAUUGUUGUCCUCAAACCAUAUUAUAUAUUGUCCUUGGACUAUAUGUGACAAUUGACAUAUCAUGACAAGUAAACCUUGUACGAUGAGAAUCAUACAAUACAUAAUGAAACCUAAACAAAUUAGAAUUAACAAUUAACAACUAACAGCUCUAUAACCAUAAAAACACUUUAAAGAACAACAUUGUUUAAACUUCAGAAGCAAACUUAUUUAUAACUGAACUGUAAAUGCGAUUGUCAAAAUAUAG
rnacentral:lncRNA from 1 species